CAGGAACCAAUGAGUCUAUCUUCACGGUGCUUGUUCUCCUGCAUUACCUCGCUUGAGCUUCCCGGACACUAACAGAAGAACAGCAGCACUUUCCACUUCCAGCUGCCAGAAACCGUUUUGGGGGCCAAAGGGAGCUGUGUAUAGGAAGAGAGCAGUGAUGUUUUGGAGUUGAGGUGGGAUGCAAACAGAGCUCUCCUAACCCAUGAGAAUGAGCAACAACGGCCCCAGAACGUUCCAGAAAGGAGAGCUUCCCUGGAGUUGGGGUCUCUAUGGAAACAGGACCAGCAUUAGAGAGCUAAUCGCUAUAAAAACCCACAGAGUCCUACUCUCAGGAUACAUCGUGGAUUGCAGAAGUCUCCUAUUGCCCUUAAGAGGCUUUGGGUGGGGAACCUGAGGUUGGAGCUGGAGAGGAGCCAUCACCCUAGGCUUGGCAUUAACGGCCACAGUGAUGGACAAGAGGGAACUGCUACAACCCUGCAGGCCUGUUUGGGGCUGCUAUUAGAAAUACAGUUAUGAAAAAUUUUUGGCAUCAUAUUUUUCUUCCCUAGCAUCACAGCUGACAUAAAAAAAACAAACAAACAACCGAUCUCAACUCAGGGGGAAUGAUUUCCCCAUUCCCAAUUUUAUUUUAAUUCCUUGUUCCUUUAUUGCUUAGAGAAUUCUGCCUGGAGCCCAUGCAAGUCAGAAAAGGUGGCACCAUCCACCUGGGCUUUAGGCAGAACUGAUUCAAUAUAUCCCAGCAGAGAAGAUUUUUAUUAAAGUUACCUGCGUGCGUGCCCUCUGCCUCUUCUCAUACCACCCCCGUUGCACUGCCUCCCCUUCCACAAAGCCCCUCUGACCACAUCAGUAGGCAGUGACCUCUCCGCCCUGCUCUGAACUCGAGAGAGCUCAUUAUCUGCACCACUCACCUUGCAAUUAAUCAUGUACAGCCUCUGCCAUGGCUUCUAGUCCUCUCUCAAAGUGUUAUCCAACUUCUCACUUGUUUAUAAUUCUUGAUGAGAAUAUGAGCAAGUGGAAGGCAGAAGUCCAAUCAUCUUUAUCUUUGUGUCCUUAAGAUUACCUAGCAGAGACCUCAACACAAACAUGAUGAUGGCCUACUUAUUUAUUUUCUGAGUAGACAAUAAAUAAACAACCCCAGUCUA